rnacentral:rRNA from 1 species
CCUACGGGUGGCAGCAGUGAGGAAUAUUGGUCAAUGGACGAGAGUCUGAACCAGCCAAGUAGCGUGAAGGAUGACUGCCCUAUGGGUUGUAAACUUCUUUUAUAAAGGAAUAAAACGAGGCACGUGUGCCUUUUUGCAUGUACUUUAUGAAUAAGGAUCGGCUAACUCCGUGCCAGCAGCCGCGGUAAUACGGAGGAUGCGAGCGUUAUCCGGAUUUAUUGGGUUUAAAGGGUGCGUAGGUUGUUUUUUAAGUCAGCGGUGAAAGUUUGUGGCUCAACCAUAAAAUUGCCGUUGAAACUGGAAGACUUGAGUGUGUUUGAGGUAGGCGGAAUGCGUGGUGUAGCGGUGAAAUGCAUAGAUAUCACGCAGAACUCCGAUUGCGAAGGCAGCUUACUAAGCCAUAACUGACACUGAAGCACGAAAGCGUGGGGAUCAAACAGGAUUAGAUACCCUUGUAGUC